rnacentral:rRNA from 1 species
CCUACGGGUGGCUGCAGUAACGAAUCUUCCGCAAUGCACGAAAGUGUGACGGAGCGACGCCGCGUGUGGGACGAAGCCCUUCGGGGUGUAAACCACUGUCAGGGGAUAGAAAGUUCUGAUCAUCCCCAGAGGAAGGCACGGCUAACUCUGUGCCAGCAGCCGCGGUAAGACAGAGGUGCCAAGCGUUAGGCGGAAUCACUGGGCUUAAAGCGUGUGUAGGUGGAUCGUUAAGUACCUUGUGAAAUCCCACGGCUUAACCGUGGAACUGCUCGGUAUACUGGCGGUCUUGAGCCAACUAGGGGCUAUCGGAACAAGUGGUGGAGCGGUGAAAUGCGUAGAUAUCACUUGGAACGCCAAUGGUGAAAACAGAUAGCUGGGGUUGUGCUGACACUGAGACACGAAAGCCAGGGGAGCAAACGGGAUUAGAUACCCCAGUAGUC